rnacentral:pre_miRNA from 1 species
UUGUGACCGUUGUUACGGGCACUGCAUCGAUGCCGGGUUGCCCGUCCCCUCGGUUACACCU